GUUUCAAUCAUGGAGUCCUACUUAAAAUACUUGUUAAUAUUGUAAAACUUCGAAUACUCAAAAUAAAUAUACAUAGUUGGUCGUUACAGACUGCAGAGCUCUCAUUCGCAGCCGCGAGGAUGCAAGAUUCGCUGUAACUAAUUGAUUUUGGACUGUAAACCCGAAUAUAUUUCAAUAUUCAACACGUAGCAAAUACAUUAAAAAUGAGAAAUUAUUGACAACCAUUCCUGUACAUAUUAAGUGCGGGACUCUCCAUAUUUUGCAUAAAGAUGAGAAGAAUUGCACUUGGUAUACAUAUUCUAUUGAAUAAUGAAAAUUUUGUAAAAAAUGCUAGCCCAUUAACAGCUAGCUAUCAUAUAUGUAUAUUAGGUAUCAAAAUUAUAAAUAAAAUAAAUUGUGUAAAAUUCAUCUAUAUACCAUACAACAUUAAUAAAGUACUAAGCCUUUCA